CAACGCCGCGUGGAGGAUGAAAUCCCUUGGGAUGUAAACUCCUUUCGAUCGGGACGAUUAUGACGGUACCGGAAGAAGAAGCCCCGGCUAAACUUUCGUGC
rnacentral:rRNA from 1 species